rfam:Neisseria bacilliformis ATCC BAA-1200 genomic scaffold SCAFFOLD1, whole genome shotgun sequence.
CAUUUAUAUUUACGCCCAUGCAAUCGCCCGAAUAGGGCGGACAACGCAACAGCUUAAUCGGA